GAAAAUAUUUGAAGCAACUGCUUGUGUAAGAACAAAUAGCACAAGACACAUGAAGGUAACAAAAUACGAAAUACACCUAUGCACCCAUUCAUUGGGCGCAAAGUCACACCCCACGGUGCGCGUCGACUGCAUCCGCCUGGCCAAAAGUCAGCCAAAGAGUGGCGGUCGCGCUUCACUGCACCGCUGAGCAAAGCGGAGCAGCAGUUGCUUUAAUGACUACCAAAUAACCAACCAAAACUGAGUCGAUUGCAAGAAUUUCAAUGCCAGCUGCGGUUCGGUGAUGCGUGUCAAGUCCGAAGAGGUUUGCUGUGAUUUCCCAGGCUAGACUGACUUGGUUUAGAAUUGCGCUGGUGAUUGCCACGUGGUAUUCUGGCUGCGUCGUGUGCGGGCCAAGUGUUGGCGUAUUCAUUUGCCUAAUGAUCCAGCAGGUUGAACAUUGGUCAAAUGCUCAGCUGGUCAAUUGGCUGACUGGUUAUGUGGCCAACACCCGCGACCACUUUGUGGUAGAAUUCGCUAUAAUUAUGUUGUUUUACAGCUAGUGCAAUUAAUUAAACAUGAUUUGCUUAUGAAUAUGGAUUGUCGAACUGCAAGAUAAACGACUGCACGCAACACCUGCCGUAUAAUACGUUGGCAACAACUUCUCAAAAAUGUAUUUAUAUCCCAAAUAAACGAUUACUUUUGAUAGCUACAAA